UACGUAGGGGGCAAGCGUUGUCCGGAAUUAUUGGGCGUAAAGAGCGCGUAGGCGGUCCGAUAAGUCGGCUGUGAAAGUCAGGGGCUCAACCCUUGAAAGCCGGCCGAUACUGUCGGACUAGAGUCCGGAAGAGGCGAGUGGAAUUCCCGGUGUAGCGGUGAAAUGCGCAGAUAUCGGGAGGAAGACCAGUGGCGAAGGCGGGUCUCUGGACAGUUCCUGACACUGAGACACGAAGGCCAGGGGAGCAACGGG
rnacentral:rRNA from 1 species